rnacentral:rRNA from 1 species
UACGUAGGAGACAAGCGUUGUCCGGAAUUACUGGGCGUAAAGCGCGUGUAGGCGGAUGGGCAAGUCUGCUGUGAAAGCUCCUGGCUUAACCGGGAGUGGUCGGUGGAAACUGCCAAUCUGGAGGACGGUAGAGGUAGGUAGAAUUCCCGGUGUAGUGGUGAAAUGCGUAGAGAUCGGGAGGAAUACCUGUGGCGAAGGCGGCCUACUGGGCCGGACCUGACGCUGAGACGCGAAGGCGUGGGGAGCGAACGGG